GACAAAGAGGGUGAAAUCCCCGUUUUUGGCCGGAGCAUAGUCUUGCGUUUGCUCGGAAGCGAAGAGUCAGGUUGUUUGGUAUUGCAGCCUAAAGUUGGAGGUAAAUCUCUCCUAAAGCUAAAUAUUGACGAAAGACCGAUAGCGAACAAGUACCGUGAGGGAAAGAUGAAAAGCACCUUGAAAAGGGGGUCAAAAAGUACGUGAAAUUGCUGAAAGGGAACCGUAUGAAAUCAGCCUGUGUCUUUAGUAAUCAAUCUGGGCUUUGGCCUGGAUGCACUUGCUAGUGACUCAGCUUGCGACAGUUUGAUUUGGAGGAAAAAAUCAAGGAGAAUGUGGCCUCGACUUCGGUGGAGGUGUUAUAGCUCUUUGAAAAAUACUCUGGGUUGGACUGAGGACUGCAGCGAGCCUUUGGGAUGGACUGUGGGCGCUUGCUUUUUAAUAGGAAAGAAUCUCUGCUUCGGGUGGUGCUUUUUUAUUAAGAGGUAACUCGCCUACUUUUCCUUUUUCUCGCUUAGGUCGCAAGCAUAAUGAUUUUAUAUGACCCGUCUUGAAACACGGACCAAGGAGUCCACCAUAGUUGCGAGUCUUUGGGUGUAGAAACCCAUAGGCGUAAGGAAACUGACCAAGAUAUGAAGGCCGCAAGGCUGGCAAUAUCCUCCAGCGAGGACGUUUUAUACUGAAUUGACUGAGAGAAAGCAAUUAUGAUGGGACCCGAAAGAUGGUGAACUAUACUUGAAUAGGGUGAAGCCAGAGGAAACUCUGGUGGAAGCUCGUAGCGAUUCUGACGUGCAAAUCGAUCGUCAAAUUUGAGUAUAGGGGCGAAAGACUAAUCGA
rnacentral:rRNA from 1 species